CUGAACUGAACAAUACGAUCCUGGAUAUUCUCCUUUCCAUCACUAACUUAUUUAGGCUCAGAGUUUCAAGUUGUAAGGUCCUCUUCCUGAGUCGAUUCAAAACCUUAUGAACCUAACGCGACUUGAUCUUAAGUUACAUUUACGAAACCCCAAUCAUGGGUAGAGGACUCUGUAGUCGGUCUAAAUAACUUAGUGAUGGAAGGGAGAAUAUCCAGGAUGGUAUUGUUCCGUUCAGGG